rfam:Mortierella elongata AG-77 unplaced genomic scaffold K457scaffold_4, whole genome shotgun sequence.
AAUGUUGUUGCAAUAGUAAUUGAACUUAGUACGAGAGGAACCGUUCAUUCGUAUAAUUGGUAUUUGGGCCUGCCUGAGCAGGCAAUGGCCCGAAGCUAUCAUCCGUUGGGUUAUGACUGAACGCCUCUAAUUCAGAACCCGUGCUAGAACGCGACGAUUACCGCCUUGUGCCAUUUUCAGUUGAACACGAAUAGACCUACGGUCCAGAAUCAUACUACGUGGGGUUAUCUUGCAGAGCGGAAAGGUUUUGUGAGGUUCCUGCUAAUGUUAAUUUUAAAUAUAGCACGAGAUAAACCCAUUGCAGACGACUUUAAUUGAACGGGGUAUCAAGCAGUAGAGUAGCCUUGUUGCUACGAUCUGCUGAGAUUAAGCCCAUUGUUCUAUAGACUU